rnacentral:piRNA from 1 species
GGGGAAGGAAACCACCCCCAACUUGGUUGC